AUGUGAUGUAAUUACACAGGCCGAUGCUGCAGGGAUGUAAUGAGGUGAUGUAAUUACACAGGCCGAUGCUGCAGGGAUGUAGAGGUCAUGUGGUGUAAUUACACAGGCCGAUGCUGCAGGGAUGUAGAGGUCAUUUGAAGCAGCCUUUCUUCCAUCGCGUGUUUGGAACAAUGACAAAGACAUCGGCAACUUUGUAUUCUGUCGUCAACUCCGCUCUGAAGUGACCUGGCGGGCACCGUCAGGCAGAGAUCAACAUCUUGAUGUAUGUUCAGUGAGAUCUGAGUUUACAGUGUACAACAUCUAGCACUUAGCUGACAUUUGUUUGUUUUUUUAACAAGCUUUUUCAAGUACAACAUUAAUAUAAUGAUGGUUUUGGGAAACAUUGAAGGAGAUUUAAUGAUGCUCCUAACGAAGGUUUUAAAGAGGAAUUUAUUAGUCUUACGAUGCUUCUGAGAAAUCAGUCUCUCUGGGUCUCCUGUUCUCUCACCCAGAGGAUUAUGGUUGUAUCCUAAAUGGCACGUCUCUCUCCCUCCCUGCUAGAGGCACCUCUCUCCCUCCCUGC
ensembl:lncRNA